rnacentral:rRNA from 1 species
UACGUAGGGGGCGAGCGUUGUCCGGAUUCAUUGGGCGUAAAGCGCUUUAAGGCGGUUCGGUAAGUCGGGUGUGAAACCUCCAGGCUCAACCUGGAGACGCCACUCGAUACUGCUGUGACUAGAGUUCGGUAGGGGAUCGACGGAAUUCCUGGUGUAGCGGGUAGAAAAUGCGCAGAUAUCAGGAGGAACACCGGUGGCGAAGGCGGGUCUCUGGGCCGAUACUGACGCUGAGGAGCGAAAGCGUGGGGAGCAAACAGG